rnacentral:rRNA from 1 species
UACGGAGGGUCCAAGCGUUAUCCGGAAUCAUUGGGUUUAAAGGGUCCGUAGGCGGUUUUGUAAGUCAGUGGUGAAAGCCCAUCGCUCAACGGUGGAACGGCCAUUGAUACUGCAAGACUUGAAUUAUUGGGAAGCAACUAGAAUAUGUAGUGUAGCGGUGAAAUGCUUAGAGAUUACAUGGAAUACCAAUUGCGAAGGCAAGGUUGCUACCAAUACAUUGACGCUGAUGGACGAAAAGCGUGGGGAGC